rnacentral:rRNA from 1 species
UCCGGUUGAUCCUGCCGGAGGCCACUGCUAUGGGGGUCCGACUAAGCCAUGCGAGUCAUGGGGCGCCUUGCGCGCACCGGCGGACGGCUCAGUAACACGUCGGUAACCUACCCUCGGGAGGGGGAUAACCCCGGGAAACUGGGGCUAAUCCCCCAUAGGCCUGAGGUACUGGAAGGUCCUCAGGCCGAAAGGGGCUCUGCCCGCCCGAGGAUGGGCCGGCGGCCGAUUAGGUAGUUGGUGGGGUAACGGCCCACCAAGCCGAAGAUCGGUACGGGCCAUGAGAGUGGGAGCCCGGAGAUGGACACUGAGACACGGGUCCAGGCCCUACGGGGCGCAGCAGGCGCGAAACCUCCGCAAUGCGGGAAACCGCGACGGGGGGACCCCCAGUGCCGUGGCAACGCCACGGCUUUUCCGGAGUGUAAAAAGCUCCGGGAAUAAGGGCUGGGCAAGGCCGGUGGCAGCCGCCGCGGUAAUACCGGCGGCCCGAGUGGUGGCCGCUAUUAUUGGGCCUAAAGCGUCCGUAGCCGGGCCUGUAAGUCCCUGGCGAAAUCCCACAGCUCAACCGUGGGGGCUUGCUGGGGAUA